CCGCAUACGAUCUAUGGAUGAAAGCGGGGGACCGUAAGGCCUCGCGCGAUUGGAGCGGCCGAUGUCAGAUUAGGUAGUUGGUGGGGUAAAGGCUCACCAAGCCGACGAUCUGUAGCUGGUCUGAGAGGACGACCAGCCACACUGGGACUGAGACACGGCCCAGACUCCUACGGGAGGCAGCAGUGGGGAAUUUUGGACAAUGGGCGCAAGCCUGAUCCAGCCAUUCCGCGUGCAGGAUGAAGGCCCUCGGGUUGUAAACUGCUUUUGUACGGAACGAAACGGUGCUCUCUAAUACUGGGCGCUAAUGACGGUACCGUAAGAAUAAGCACCGGCUAACUACGUGCCAGCAGCCGCGGUAAUACGUAGGGUGCAAGCGUUAAUCGGAAUUACUGGGCGUAAAGCGUGCGCAGGCGGUG
rnacentral:rRNA from 1 species